UACGAAGGGGGGCUAGCGUUGCUCGGAAUUACUGGGCGUAAAGGGAGCGUAGGCGGAUAGUUAAGUCAGAGGUGAAAGCCCAGGGCUCAACCUUGGAAUUGCCUUUGAUACUGGCUAUCUUGAGUAUGGGAGAGGUGUGUGGAACUCCGAGUGUAGAGGUGAAAUUCGUAGAUAUUCGGAAGAACACCAGUGGCGAAGGCGACACACUGGCCCAUUACUGACGCUGAGGCUCGAAAGCGUGGGGAGCAAACAGG
rnacentral:rRNA from 1 species